rnacentral:rRNA from 1 species
AACGAACGCUGGCGGCAGGCCUAACACAUGCAAGUCGAGCGGACCCUUCGGGGUUAGCGGCGGACGGGUGAGUAACGCGUGGGAAUAUGCCCUUCUCUACGGAAUAGUCCUGGGAAACUGGGGGUAAUACCGUAUACGCCCUUUGGGGGAAAGAUUUAUCGGGGAAGGAUUAGCCCGCGUUGGAUUAGGUAGUUGGUGGGGUAAUGGCCUACCAAGCCGACGAUCCAUAGCUGGUUUGAGAGGAUGAUCAGCCACACUGGGACUGAGACACGGCCCAGACUCCUACGGGAGGCAGCAGUGGGGAAUCUUAGACAAUGGGGGCAACCCUGAUCUAGCCAUGCCGCGUGAGUGAUGAAAGCCUUAGGGUUGUAAAGCUCUUUCAGCUGGGAAGAUAAUGACGGUACCAGCAGAAGAAGCCCCGGCUAACUCCGUG